GACGUAGGGACCGAGCGUUGUCCGGAAUCAUUGGGCGUAAAGAGCGUGUAGGCGGCUUGCUAAGUCUUGCGUGAAAUCUCGGGGCUCAACCCCGAGCGGUCGUGGGAAACUGGCAGGCUAGAGUGCGGGAGAGGAGAAUGGAAUUCCUGGUGUAGCGGUGAAAUGCGCAGAUAUCAGGAAGAACACCCGUGGCGAAGGCGGUUCUCUGGAACGCAACUGACGCUGAGACGCGAAAGCGUGGGGAGCAAACAGG
rnacentral:rRNA from 1 species